rnacentral:tRNA from 1 species
GCCCCCGUAGCUCAGGCGGAUAGAGCACCGGAUUCCUAAUCCGGGCGUCGCAGGUUCGAGUCCUGCCGGGGGCACCA